GCUCCUGUGGCCAAGUGGUUAGAGCGUCCGCCUCAGAUGCGUGAGGUUGCAGGUCUGAGCCCUGGCCGAGUCA